AGAGAUGUGUGAUGACGCAUAUCAAUAAGCGGAGGAAAAGAAACUAACAAGGAUUCCCUUAGUAACGGCGAGUGAAGCGGGAAGAGCUCAAAUUUGAAAUCUUCAAGGUUCUACCUUGACGAAUUGUAGUUUAUAGAAGUGUUUUCUGUUAGUGGAGUGGCAAAAGUUCUUUGGAAUAGGACAUCAUAGAGGGUGAGAAUCCCGUAUUUGGUCAUUCCUUCCUAGCGUUGUGAUACACUUUCAACGAGUCGGAUUGUUUGGGAAUGCAGUCCAAAAUGGGUGGUAAAUUUCAUCUAAAGCUAAAUAUUGGCGAGAGACCGAUAGCGAACAAGUACCGUGAGGGAAAGAUGAAAAGAACUUUGAAAAGAGAGUUAAACAGUACGUGAAAUUGUCAAAAGGGAAGCGUUUGACACCAGUGUUGUUUUUCCGAAAAUCAAUUACGAAUGUUUUGUUUUUAAGGAGUUAUGACUUCAUCGGCUUGCUCCUUUCUUUAUGAAACUUUCUUAAUGCACUUUUCGGUUAACAAGUCAACAUCAAUUUCUUUUGUUGUAAAAGGGUAUGAGGAAGGUGGCUUUCUUUUCGGAGAAAGUGUUUAUAGCCUUGUGCCUCUGCAAUCGGAGAGAUUGAGGUCUGCAGCGUAGAUCCUUCGGGGUUAGAUACGUUUGUGCUAAGUUAUAGCUUUUCAUAGACAACUUGUUGACUAUGUUUAGUCUUGUAGCUUACUCGCUGAUGCUAUUUUACCUACGCUUAGGAUGUUGAACUCUAUCACACACAG
rnacentral:rRNA from 1 species